rnacentral:rRNA from 1 species
AUUGAACGCUGGCGGCAGGCCUAACACAUGCAAGUCGAGCGAGCGGCGGACGGGUGAGUAAUGUCUGGGAAACUGCCUGAUGGAGGGGGAUAACUACUGGAAACGGUAGCUAAUACCGCAUACCAUCAGAUGUGCCCAGAUGGGAUUAGCUAGUAGGUGGGGUAACGGCUCACCUAGGCGACGAUCCCUAGCUGGUCUGAGAGGAUGACCAGCCACACGGGAACUGAGACACGGUCCAGACUCCGACGGGAGGCAGCAGUGGGGAAGAUGGCACAAGGGGCGCAAGCCUGAGGCAGCUAUGCCGCUUGUGUGAAGAAGGCCUUCGGGGUGUAAGGGACGUUCAGCGGGGAGGCGGUACCCGAAGAAGAAGCACCUGCUAACUCCGUGCCAGCCGCCGCGGUAAUAC